rnacentral:rRNA from 1 species
UACGUAGGGGGCAAGCGUUGUCCGGAAUUAUUGGGCGUAAAGAGCGCGUAGGCGGCCAGAUAAGUCCGGUGUGAAAGUCAAAGGCUCAACCUUUGAAUGCCGCUGGAAACUGUCUGGCUAGAGUCCGGGAGGGGCGAGUGGAAUUCCUGGUGUAGCGGUGAAAUGCGCAGAUAUCAGGAGGAACACCAGCGGCGAAGGCGGUGCUCUGGGCCGGAACUGACGCCGAGGAGCGAAAGCGUGGGGAGCGAACAGG